CAAUGCCUGAGACCGGCGCACGGGUGCGUAACGCGUAUGCAAUCUACCUUUUACAGGGGAAUAGCCCAGAGAAAUUUGGAUUAAUGCCCCAUGGUAUUAUAGAAUGGCAUCAUUUUAUGAUUAAAGUUCCAACGGUAAAAGAUGAGCAUGCGUCCCAUUAGUUAGUUGGUAAGGUAACGGCUUACCAUGACGAUGAUGGGUAGGGGUCCUGAGAGGGAGAUCCCCCACACUGGUACUGAGACACGGACCAGACUCCUACGGGAGGCAGCAGUGAGGAAUAUUGGACAAUGGGCGCAAGCCUGAUCCAGCCAUGCCGCGUGCAGGAAGAAGCAUCUAUGGUGUGUAAACUGCUUUUGUACAGGAAGAAACAUCCCGACGUGUCGGGACUUGACGGUACUGUAAGAAUAAGGAUCGGCUAACUCCGUGCCAGCAGCCGCGGUAAUACGGAGGAUCCAAGCGUUAUCCGGAAUCAUUGGGUUUAAAGGGUCCGUAGGCGGUUUAAUAAGUCAGUGGUGAAAUCUGGUCGCUCAACGAUCAAACGGCCAUUGAUACUGUUAGACUUGAAUUAUUGUGAAGUAACUAGAAUAUGUAGUGUAGCGGUGAAAUGCUUAGAUAUUACAUGGAAUACCAAUUGCGAAGGCAGGUUACUAACAAUGGAUUGACGCUGAUGGACGAAAGCGUGGGGAGCGAACAGGAUUAGAUACCCUGGUAGUCCACGCCCGUAACGAUGGAUACUAGCUGUUGGGAUUUAUCU
rnacentral:rRNA from 1 species